rnacentral:lncRNA from 1 species
AUGAUGGACCCACACAUUAACGAUAUACUGGACUAUGUUAGGUACUACGAGCCGCUCACGGUGGAGAAUCUCCGUCCUCCGGAGGAGCUGCUGUCCUCGGAGGAGGACGAGGACGACGAUUUCUCCGUCGGAGAGGCCGAGCUUGUCUUGGAACAAGCGGACGUCUUCCUGAAGGAUGCCAAGGCCUUCGUGGGUGAAGCGCGUUCCUUCAUCGAGGAAGCCGACUCUAUCUUGGAUAAAAGGAAUGCAACCAAAGGCAAUGAAGUUAAGAGAAGCCUCCACAACAAUGUGGCCAGGGACAACUUGGCUGGUGAUGAUUUCUCCAAAGAACUGGACCAGCUCGCGGAUGAGUCAAAAGGGAAGGCCAGAGAUAACUCAAAAGGGAAGGCCAAAGAUAAGUCAAAAGGGAUGGUCAGAGAUAAGGCCAUGGACAACUUAGUUGGAGAUGAUGUCUCCAAAGAGCUGGACCAGCUCUUGGAUGAGCCAGAAGAGAUGGUGAAAGAUAAAUCCAAUGACAACAUGGCUGAUGACGAUUUCCUCAAAGAACUGGACCAAAUCUUGAAUGAACCAGAAGAGAUGGAGGAUGACAAGGCCAAAGACUGUUUAGUUGUUGAUGAUUUCUCCAAAGAACUGGACCAGCUCUCGGGUGAGUCAAAAGAGAUGGGCAGAGAUGAGGCCAGGGACGACUUGGUUGGAGAUGACUUCUCCAAAGAGCUGGACCAGCUCUUAGAUGAGGCAGAAGAAAUGUUGGGCAUGACCCCUCAGAAGCCCAACCUCACAAAUGUCAGUCUCCAGAACAGUGAUUUGGAACCUAAGAGUCACAGCUCAGCAGUCUCCAAGACGAAGUCCUUGAGCCGUCCUGGUUUCCCAAUAACUGAGAAAGUCCCCCUUCCUAGUGAAAAAAGCUUCCGCAAAGAAAUGGAAGACUGCGACAGCUUAAUCAGGGAGCUGGACCAGAUGCUCGAUGAGCCCGAAACGCAUCGCCCCGGGUCACGAGCCCGCACGCAGGCCGCGACUUCUCUUUCAGAAGAUUGUGGCAGCAGCUACGGGGGGCCCCAGAAGCCGAGGUCAUGCAGGAGGAAGGCUGAGAUUCUUGGAUCCCCCAAAGUCUCAGUCACCCCGAACUCAACAAAAGUGGAUACAACUAUAGAAGCAGAGACAUUGACUGAGAAGAGCCAUGAGGAAAAUUUCACCAUUCCUGCUGUGGCUGAAACAGAUGUCAGCCUCCAAGGAACCAGGAGUACUCAUUGCUGGAAUAGGUGGUGGGCGAGAGUCUGGAGGAAGGAUCACAGAUCUGUGGAGAGUGAGAUAUCGGUCAUCAGGAAGAGCAACACAGUGGUCUGCACCGACAGGACUACUGAAGCGCCGGGCUGCUGUUCCUUCUGCCUUCCUUUAUUUCAAAUAUUCAAGGCAAACCGGAAUUUCAGCAGGAGAUGAAAUAAAGAUAUAUAUUUUUUCCUUCUCAGUCUGCCUAUUUAUUGGAUUGUUGUUAAUAAAGAUCAAUAGGUGA